rnacentral:piRNA from 1 species
UGGGUAAGUGGUUUUUUAGGUCAAUGUGA